AGUCCUGCAGUGAGUGUCAUAUUGAAUUGCAAAUUCAAAGAAGCAGCUUGAGGCUGCCGGGGCUUC